rnacentral:rRNA from 1 species
GGUUGCGAUCAUACCAGCACUAAUGCACCGGAUCCCAUCAGAACUCCGCAGUUAAGCGUGCUUGGGCGAGAGGAGUACUAGGAUGGGUGACUCCCUGGGAAGUCCUCGUGUUGCAACCC